rnacentral:rRNA from 1 species
AACGAACGCUGGCGGCAGGCUUAACACAUGCAAGUCGAACGCCCCGCAAGGGGAGUGGCAGACGGGUGAGUACCGCGUGGGAACAUACCCUUAUCUACGGAAUAGCUCUGGGAAACUGGAAUUAAUACCGUAUACGCCCUACGGGGGAAAGAUUUAUCGGGGAAGGAUUGGCCCGCGUUGGAUUAGCUAGUUGGUGGGGUAAAGGCCUACCAAGGCGACGAUCCAUAGCUGGUCUGAGAGGAUGAUCAGCCACAUUGGGACUGAGACACGGCCCAAACUCCUACGGGAGGCAGCAGUGGGGAAUAUUGGACAAUGGGCGCAAGCCUGAUCCAGCCAUGCCGCGUGAGUGAUGAAGGCCUUAGGGUUGUAAAGCUCUUUCACCGAUGAAGAUAAUGACGGUAGUCGGAGAAGAAGCCCCGGCUAACUUCGUG